CAGAAAAACAUCUUUGGAAGAGGUGAUGGAUAAAGAAGAGGGUGACAGUACUCUUUUCCUCUAUAGCUUUGCACAAUGCUCAGUUUUGGAUCUGUAUCGGAUUCCAUGGCCAGCUACCAUAGAGAAAGAGACAAGAGCCACACUGUCAGGUUUGGAGGAGGCCUGCAACCUUUACAUUCAGGAGAGAUUUGACUCUUUGGAAGAAAGGAACAGAAAUUUUGCUAUCCAAUGGGAACGGCUUCAGAAGCGUGUUUUUGAAUGAACUUUCACACAGUGUGACGCUGCUCAGCCACCACAAAUUGGACAGAGAGAGAAUGCAUUUUUACUUCUGUAUUUAUGUGAAUGAAAUGCAUUGAAAUGUUGUUACCAUA